ACACACACACACACACACACACACACACACACACGCAUGCACACACACACAGUAAUACUUACUUGUGAGUAAAAAAAGAGCUUAAUUAGGGUAUGAGAUGCAGACACACUUGGUUUAUGGAUAGAAGAUUCCAGAAGACGUACUUUAAUAAGGUACCAUGUCUAUGAAUUGAAAUAGCGGAUGAAUUCAACUGUAUCCCUUCCCUCAUUUGUGCUUUCAAAAUUUGUUUCCCUUUUGUAACUAGGAAAACGUUAUUUUUACAAUGAAUGUUUCCAGGAUGCUUACUCUACAUCAGGCACUAUUCUAAUGUGUGUGUGCAUGUGUAUAGACCCAGAACGGUCUCCUUUGUUGGUGUUUAGGCACCAUCCUCCUCUGUAUGAGGUGAGGUCUCUCCUGCCAUUGAACUUUGUAAGUUCAAAUCUCUGCAUGUCCUGCCCAACUGUGGAAUUAUUAAAAAUCUUGCAAUAAUAAUUAAAAAAGAAAGAAAAAUAAA
rnacentral:lncRNA from 1 species